UACGUAGGGUGCAAGCGUUGUCCGGAAUUAUUGGGCGUAAAGAGCUCGUAGGCGGUUUGUCGCGUCGAAUGUGAAAACCCGGGGCUCAACCCCCGGGCCUGCAUUCGAUACGGGCAGACUAGAGUUCGGUAGGGGAGUCUGGAAUUCCUGGUGUAGCGGGUGAAAUGCGCAGAUAUCAGGAGGAACACCGGUGGCGAAGGCGGGACUCUGGGCCGUAACUGACGCUGAGGAGCGAAAGCAUGGGUAGCAAACAGG
rnacentral:rRNA from 1 species